UCACAGUUGAGGAUGCUGGUCUUUACAUCUGCAGACAGAACGACCGAUCAGGACGACAACAAGGUCCAGACACUGUGGUUAUUCUGUCUGUUGUUAGCAUGACUGAACAUAAGGACGCUGAUAAGGUGACGUUAAGCUGCUCUGUGUCAAUAUAUGAACAGUGCAGACACACAGUGAAGUGGCUGUAUAAAGGAAGUGAUUUGGACAUAAAUACCAGAGACAGACAGACAUCACAAUCUACCUGCUCAGCCACUGUGGUGUUGUUGACUUCUCAUUUUAUUUACACAUCAAAUUCUAAGUAUUUGCAGUGUGAAGUCACAGAUCUCAACAGUAAAGAAGUGCAGCUGUAUAACUUCAGUCCCCAAUCAUCAGGUGAGGCUGCAACAACAACAGAGCCUGC